CAGCCCAAUAAAACAAUAACAACAACUCCAGUUGGCCCAGCAGCUCCUAAAUUAACAACACCACACAAGAGCAGGCCCAACAACAAACAAUCAGUCCAAAACUAACCCACCUACCCGGCCAACUACCCUUCUCCCUUCCCCUAAACCAACGUACAACAGCAACAGCAAAAACAAACACAACAACAAACUUUCCACCUCCAGCGUACAAACAACAUCGGCCAACGACUUCAACAUCAACAGUCCGGCAAACCAACGAUUUCAACCAACAGCAGCAUCAUCGGCACAACAACACCAGCAAUACAAUGCACAACGUACAAGCAACCAUAGCAACAACAGAAACCCAAUUCCAGCUUCAACCGAUCGACCCGCGAACAACUUCAUUCAAUCCAACGACCAAACAACGAUCCAAAAAUUACGGAAAUCUCUCUCUUUUCAUCUUAUCUCUGCAAUUUUGGAGGCCUAGAGCCAUCAUUGUUGACUUUGGCUUAAGAUUGCGUGUCUUGUAACCUAGAAAUUCAAUCUAAAUCAGGUGUCAUAAAUGGAAAUCCGAAUUUAUGGGAUAUGUUUCUAUCCCUUUUCAAUUUUUUCAAACCCUAACCACUCACUGUCACAAAACAGACUUUCUUUUGAAUUGUUAGUGAAAUUUUUUCAACAUAAAGAGGAACUCGUGCUUCCAUUAAAAAGGGAUUCUUUGGGGAAAGAUUGGGGAUUCUGGAGGAGCAUUCCUCUAAUCCCACGUAAUCAAAGGAUUCAAUAAGAAACUCUUUCUAGAAAAUCAAUUUCGGAAAAAAAAUUGAAACUUCGGCAAGUCGAGAUCAAAACUUCGGUGGAAAAUAACGUAAAUUCCGGUGGAAUUCCGUUCAGUUAAAAGAGCUCAUCGUCCUGGUUCCUGCCCCAAAACGGACUCCCAUCUCUCACACUCCGUUCGGUUAAUGCCAGUAUCUCGAGUCAAGACUCAUCAAAGUCCAAAAAUAGACUGAUAUACAUGGGACAACACUGGUAUACAGAUCGGUAUACACCUGUAUUCAGUUGAUAUACAUUGGAAGCGGCAGCUGCACAUUAUUACACUGUACACAGUAAAAAAUGGAGGGAAAAUAAGCAGGUUUUCAGGCUGAUAUACACUGUAUAUGCAGUGAUAUACAGUAAAACGUGAAGAAAAUUGGGACUGAUAUACAUGUGGUAUAUACUCCAGGAAAACGGACCAAAGUCUAUAAAAUGGGGAGCCCAAAGCUGGGCAACUCACUGAUGGGCCAAAAGUGGCCCAACCCUAACCUAAAUCUUUUAUUCUCUUAUGAAUUAUCACUUAUAUAAUUGUCUAUUUGUAUUAGCACUAAUUUUACUUAAUUAGCCUAGUGAUUUCCCAGGUGUUGCCAUUUCA